rnacentral:rRNA from 1 species
UAGGGAAUCUUCCACAAUGGACGAAAGUCUGAUGGAGCAACGCCGCGUGAGUGAAGAAGGGUUUCGGCUCGUAAAACUCUGUUGUUAAGAAGAACAUAUCUGAGAGUAACUGUUCAGGUAUUGACGGUAUUUAACCAGAAAGCCACGGCUAACUACGUGCCAG